rnacentral:lncRNA from 1 species
AGGCUUUUCAUCUUCACAUCUGCUUUUAGCAAAGCCAAAUGUGAGUCGUCUUAUUAUAGUCUUUUGCACAAAAUAUAGGAAACAUGAAAUGCUCUUGAGACUAUCACUUGGUAUUCUGUUCAAAGAAUUCCAGACAUUACUCCUUAAACUUUUAUACUUGAUGUUGCAAAAAUUUGAGAGUGCUGAAAAUGGAUUUGUUGAUGUCAUUCAAAUCAUGAGGGAUAUGAAUCAAUGAUGAGGAAGAUAGCCCGGAAUUUUUUAGCAGACAAGUUCAGUUCACUAUAAGAAUGUCAUAACUGGACAUUUAAUGAGCAAAUCUUACUUCUCAGCAAGGUGUAGAGCAGGAUAGAGCUCUCGCAAAAUCUUGAAAGCAUCGUCAGAAUGCACGACUUGUCGAAAAAGACUAUCUGCCAUUAGUGGAGAAGGGUGAGUUCCUGCAGCAAAUAUCUCAGCAUCAGAUGGGAACAACUUCACUUGUAAGCCUCCUCUUGUUAUAAAGAUGGUUCCAAUAAAUUUGUGUAUUUCAUUGAAUCAAGUUCCAUCACAUGUAU